UAUAAAAUGUUUAAAUUUAGUUAGUUUAAUUAGGCCUGUUAGUACACUUAUAUUAUGGUUUCUUUAUUUUAUUAUGUGGAAAGGAGCUGUUUUGAAUGAAGAUCUACAAGAAGAAGUAAUUCCAUCUAAUUGGAUUAGUGAUAAAACUGUUUGUCAGCUUCCAGGUACCAAAGAAUUGACUGCACUAAAAUGCAAAGAAGAAUUGGCUUAAGUUUAUACAAAUAAAAACUAAAUUCUCUUCAGAUAAAUCAAUUACAGAUGAUUGGUGGAACGUCUUCUAAAGAUAGAAUACACAAAAUUAUGCUGAGCUUCUUCUAUUGUAUUCAAUGGACCAAAAGAAACCUUAUGACGCACAUAGCACGUUUACAUACAUAUAUACAUUUUGACAUAAAUAGCACGUUUUAAUGAUGAAAAAGUGUAUUUCAACGUUAUUUCAACGUUAUUUGUCGGCUGGGUAGUCACUUAAAUUAACUUUUUUUCGUU